GAUGAACGCUGGCGGCGUGCCUAAUACAUGCAAGUCGAGCGAACAGACGAGGAGCUUGCUCCUCUGACGUUAGCGGCGGACGGGUGAGUAACACGUGGAUAACCUACCUAUAAGACUGGGAUAACUUCGGGAAACCGGAGCUAAUACCGGAUAAUAUAUUGAACCGCAUGGUUCAAUAGUGAAAGACGGUUUUGCUGUCACUUAUAGAUGGAUCCGCGCCGCAUUAGCUAGUUGGUAAGGUAACGGCUUACCAAGGCGACGAUGCGUAGCCGACCUGAGAGGGUGAUAGGCCACACUGGAACUGAGACACGGUCCAGACUCCUACGGGAGGCAGCAGUAGGGAAUCUUCCGCAAAGGGCGAAAGCCUGACGGAGCAACGCCGCGUGAGUGAUGAAGGUCUUCGGAUCGUAAAACUCUGUUAUUAGGGAAGAACAAAUGUGUAAGUAACUAUGCACGUCUUGACGGUACCUAAUCAGAAAGCCACGGCUAACUACGUG
rnacentral:rRNA from 1 species